UACGGAGGGUGCAAGCGUUGCUCGGAAUUACUGGGCGAAAAGCGCGUGUAGGCGGGCUCGUGUGUCUGGCGUGAAAGCCCCGGGCCCAUCCCGGGAAGUGCGUUGGAAACUGCGAGACUAGAGUUCCGGAGAGGAAGGUGGAAUUCCAGGUGAAGCGGUGAAAUGCGUAGAUAUCUGGAAGAACACCGGUGGCGAAGGCGGCCUUCUGGACGGUGACUGACGCUGAGACGCGAAAGCGUGGGGAGCAAACAGG
rnacentral:rRNA from 1 species